CAACCCUCAAGCCUGGCUUGGUGUUGGGCGCGGCCCGUGGGCCGGCCCCAAAGGCAGUGGCGGUGCCGCCGGUCCCUGAGCGCAGUACGUCUCUCGCUCCAGGGCCCCGCGGUGGCCGGCCAGAACCCCCUCUCCUC
rnacentral:misc_RNA from 1 species